CCCUUAGAUGCUCUGGGCCGCACGCGCGCUACACUGGUCGAUGUAACGAGUUUCUUUCCUUGGCCGACAGGCCUGGGCAAUCUUUGAACAUCGAUCGUGAUCGGGAUAGAUUCUUGUAAUUUUUGAUCUUAAACGAGGAAUUCCUAGUAAACGCAAGUCAUCAGCUUGCAUUGAUUACGUCCCUGCCCUUUGUACACACCGCCCGUCGCACCUACCGAUUGAAUGGUCCGGUGAAAUCUCCGGACUGGCGUGAGUCGGAGCAAUCUGACAAACACCGGAAAGUUGAUUAAACCUUACCAUUUAGAGGAAGGUGAAGUCGUAACA
rnacentral:rRNA from 1 species